rnacentral:tRNA from 1 species
GACGAGGUGGCCGAGUGGUUAAGGCGUUGGACUGCUAAUCCAAUGGGUUCUGCCCGCGUGAGUUCGAAUCUCAUCCUCGUCG